GACCAAGUGGGAGGAGGCAGGAGUGGGGUCAGAGGCUGUGGGAGCAGGAGAGACACUGCGGAGCUGGAGAGGCUGCGGGAGCUGGAGAGGAUGCUGGAGCUGGGGUGGGAAGCCCUCUACGAGCAGCAGGCGGAGCCACACAGUAGCCGAGGGAGGCCGGGUGGGUUGCCCCACCUGGGGAGCCUGCCCUCUUCCCUAGCCCUCCAGGCCUUUGUUUCCCCACCUGUAAAAUGGGGCAUUGCAGCCCUCACAUGAAAUGGUACUUCUAAAGGCACCUGUGAGCCAGAGCCCCGCUCUGAUGGCUGUGGGAGAGAAGGGAUGAUUUUUCUAACCUGCCUCCACCCUUCCCGGUGCCAUGGCAGGCAGACACCAAGUUCUGGGGUCUCCAGCUAUAGCGGGUGGCCAAUGAUUGCUUCUCUCUGUCCAGAACAAUGAGAACAAGAGACACUGCAGUUGGAGCCUCAAGUAAAGGAGCUGAAGACGCUGGGCGAGCUGAAAGACACGAAGAGACGGAGGAGGACAUCUGGACAGUGAGGAGGAGGAGGCACCUCGGCCCAUGCAGGACAUCCCAGAGGACCGGGAGAGCCUGGAGGUCAGGUGAGCCUGACUUUCCCUGCCCCUACUUUGUCACCUUCCUCGCUGGUCCCUCCCAGAUCCCCUUAUGUUCUUGGUUUCCCUGCCUUCUGAUUUCUGUGGACUUUCACUCCUUCCGGGAGCCAGUGGUCAAACACCAUUUCACUGUGACCAACAGGUGCACACUCUGAGCCCCAAGGGAAGGCUCCUCCUCCCCUGCCCAGUUGUUCUGUGUAUGUCCCUACAAGAAUA
rnacentral:lncRNA from 1 species